rnacentral:rRNA from 1 species
AAAUUGAAGAGUUUGAUCAUGGCUCAGAUUGAACGCUGGCGGCAGGCCUAACACAUGCAAGUCGAACGGUAACAGAAAGCAGCUUGCUGCUUUGCUGACGAGUGGCGGACGGGUGAGUAAUGUCUGGGAAACUGCCUGAUGGAGGGGGAUAACUACUGGAAACGGUGGCUAAUACCGCAUAACGUCGCAAGACCAAAGAGGGGGACCUUCGGGCCUCUUGCCAUCAGAUGUGCCCAGAUGGGAUUAGCUUGUUGGUGAGGUAACGGCUCACCAAGGCGACGAUCCCUAGCUGGUC